AUUGAACGCUGGCGGCAGGCUUAACACAUGCAAGUCGAGCGGAGAUGAGGUGCUUGCACCUUAUCUUAGCGGCGGACGGGUGAGUAAUGCUUAGGAAUCUGCCUAUUAGUGGGGGACAACAUUCCGAAAGGAAUGCUAAUACCGCAUACGUCCUACGGGAGAAAGCAGGGGAUCUUCGGACCUUGCGCUAAUAGAUGAGCCUAAGUCGGAUUAGCUAGUUGGCGGGGUAAAGGCCUACCAAGGCGACGAUCUGUAGCGGGUCUGAGAGGAUGAUCCGCCACACUGGGACUGAGACACGGCCCAGACUCCUACGGGAGGCAGCAGUGGGGAAUAUUGGACAAUGGGGGGAACCCUGAUCCAGCCAUGCCGCGUGUGUGAAGAAGGCCUUAUGGUUGUAAAGCACUUUAAGCGAGGAGGAGGCUACUAAGACUAAUACUCUUGGAUAGUGGACGUUACUCGCAGAAUAAGCACCGGCUAACUCUGUGCCAGCAGCCGCAGUAAAAC
rnacentral:rRNA from 1 species